AAAAAAAAUAAAGUUAUGAUAAGUGACAACUGAGAAGAAUUUCAUUCUCCCAGUAAUAACCGCACAAAAGUAGCAUGGAAAGACCUAAGUUGACAGAAGGGAGCUUUCUCAUUAAUUUUAAUUAACAUUAAUGUGCCCCGCUGGUACUAGAGCGAUAACCAGUUGCCCCCGGCUCUUCCUUCUCGUUUGUAAUUCCCCCUUUUUUUUGGCAGUCACAUGAAACUAUUAACUGCUGCUCGUUCUCUAAGAAAGUUCACUAUAGUUUAGGUUAGAUUUAAGUUUCGUCAAUUCAAGUCCUAGUCCUACAUUGUAAUCGAAUCAAGAACAUCAAUUUAAGCUGUAUUAGGUUAAUAAUUUAUUACUUGCGUAUAUAAUCGCAGUCCGUGUCCGAAUCAACAGGUUAGUAGUUAUCAUAUCAGUCGAUAUGAUCAGUUCUCUUUUCUUAUCGAUUCUCCAAAUAAUAGAGCUAACAGAGGAACUUUACAUUAUAAAGACUCGACGAGAGGUGAGCAGAGUUUCUCAGUGGAAAGGAAGACACUUUUGAGGUUCUUCGCCGUGGUAAGAGUCCUAACAGAUUAGUUAGUAUUGUGUUAAGAUAUCAGGGUAGUCAAAAGAAGAGGAAUCCGGUUGGCACAUUUCCUCGAAAAAGAAUCCCUGUAUGGGCGAGAAGUUAUCGGCCCAAAAGAAUGCGUGAAACCUUCCACCUCUUGUUCCAUCUUCUAUCUACUACUGAAAUUACAAUAUGUAGUAACUAAUUGUCUUCUUUUUGAUUAUUGUAUUAUAAAAACCUCCGCUUAGGAACAUGGUUGAAGUAUUUUGAGAAAGGGUUUCGUGCUUGCGAGCGUAGGGAAGGGCCUAUAAUAGUACCUCCCAUUAUUCAAGGACCAGAGUAAGGCGAAACCUAAAAAGAAACAACAAAGGAGGAGGAAAACAAAACUUCCAAAACCGUACAUUCUUAUUAAAGCUAGGAACUUUGCAUCAUGCUCGGUAAUUAAGAAACCCCAGGGAGGAUCCUUCUAAGCCAUCUCUGCAUGGUAAGUUUUUUUUACUCUGUACAUGUCUCAUCAACCCACACCCCAUCUGCUAUACGGCUUCGACCCUUACCUCUUACCGUACCGUCAUCAACAACCGAAUUUACCCGGUCGUAGGAUUGACACUGCUUUCCAGUACACUCGGCUCAGUACAAGCUUUACCGCACUCCGACCCAAACUGGCUCAGUACAAGCUUCACCACACUCCGGUCCAUCCGGCUCAGUGUUAGCUCUGGGCACCCACGACAAAGACAUGCGAAAUUCACUUAACCAACGCAUAAAGAUUGGCGAGCUCGAAAACCCUAAUUACCCAUCGCGGUUGCUAGGCUGUCAUCAUACCGGGUCUCGUUCCUACAAGAAGAAGACUAGCUAUUUGCCCUAUUAAUCUAGACUUUGGGCUACUACUCUAAACUAACACGAUCCAACUUCCCAAUAACUUCAAGAAAGCAAGUAACUUAAAGUAAGUGUUUGGACGACACGCCGUCUUUAGGACGUUGUUUAGAAGAACCUGUCGAUACCGCCACGCUCUUUAGCCGUCUUAUUAACUCAGGCNAUAAUACCCGGGAAGGGAUGCGAGCGUUCGUGCUUUGGGAAAGAGUUUUAUGAAGUUGGUACAAGGAUUCGCCUCCAAAAAUAUUAUGUUAUUAUUAUAAUGAUGAUUAAAAAAAUGAAGGGUUGAUUAUAGCACUCGAAGAAAUUAUUUACGAAAUUAUACUUGUGCGUUCUGUUAGCUUUUUGAAUAUUAAAGUUAUUUUUCAUGUUUAAUACAGUAAUACUAUUAUAUGUAUUUUAAGAGUAUACGUACAAGUAACUGUAAUAAUUAUUUUAAUAGUUAUCUCAAAUUAAUAUAAAUUUAUAUAUUAUAUUUGUUUAAAAAUUUAUAAUAAAAAUUUAAAAUUUAAAUAAAUAAAUUUAUUUAUUAUAUUCUAUUACAAAAUUUCUGUCAUAUUCUAACUCAAAUUUAAAUAAUUAUUGUGGGCAAUAAUUAUAUAAUUUUAUUUUUUAUAAAAUUUGAGUUUAGAUCAUAAAUUGAGUUUAAUUUUGGAUAUCAACUUUUAAUUAAUAAUUAAAAAUUUUAAUUAAAGUGUACCAAAAUUAAAAUUUGAAUUUUGGAAUUAAAUGUAUAUAAAAAAUUCCCUGCUCUUAAUUUAAAAUACAUGCUCAAUUUUGAGUUCGUUAAAAUUUGGAAAACAUACAAAAUUGUUCAAUAUAUAGUUAAAUCUGAACUCUAAAUUUAAUAUAACUAAAAAUUUUAAAUCAAAUAAGAUUUAAAAAUAACUAUAUAUUUGAAAUUAAAUUCAAACUUGAUUGUUGGUUGCAAUCAAUAAAAAGUAAAUACAACAACUAUAAAAUAUUUCUUAGGUUGUCUAAGGUGUGUUUGGUCCCACGUAAAACUAUGGAAAAAAAAANNNNNNNNNNNNNAUAUAUUAGUAUUAUAGUUUAUAUUUAUAAAUAAAAUAUAUUUAAAAUAUAUUAUGCAAAUAAUUAAAUAUAUAAUAUACUAUAUAAUAGUAUAUAUUUAAUACUAUAAAAUAGAUUACUGGAUAUAAAAUAUUAUAUGAAAUAUAUAUUUAUAAAUAAAAUAUUAUUUUUAAAAUAUAUAUACAUAUAUAAAUAUAUAUUUAUAUAUAUAUUAUAUAUAUUAUAUACAUAAAAAAAAAAAAUCAGGGACUGAGUUCCACCGCACCCAGUGGACCUCGCUCUUGCGGUCCACUAGGUGGGGUACGCCUCGUGGACCGCGCUCCUUGGAACUCGUUCCUCCUAAAUGCGAGAAAUUCUAUAUUAUACUUGGACUGGGACAAUAUUUUUAAAAAGAGAUGUUUGAUUGGCUUGUUAUACCUCGUCAUCAAUAUACCCUUGCAUUCUAGAAUUUUUUUCCAAACACCGUGAAAAAUGGUUUUCGGAAAACGAAAACCUUCGUUUUCGUCCGAUUUGUAAAAAAAAAAAUUUCGAAAAAUUUUUUUUACGGACGAACAAACGUUCGGAAUCAUACUUUUUCAUUGAAAAUUUGUUUGCCGGGCGGUUUUACAGGGAACAAAAUAGCCCCUCAAAGAAAAAAAAAAAAAACGUAAAAAGUUUAUUUCAUUAUAUAUUUAUUCCCAGCUAAUUCUUAUUUUUAUUAUUAUAUUUUUUAUAAAAUUGUUUUUUUAAUAAAAAUUUUGAAUAUUUAUCCUACAGAAUCCAAAACAGAAGCAUCCCAAAGGAUCAACCACUCCCUAAAAAAAAAAAAAAGAAAAAGAAAUAAGAAAAUAAGAAGGGAAAAAAAAAAAAAAAAAAAAAGAAAAAAGUAGAAGAAGAGUUGGGGGGGGACCAGGAGGAUGUUGGACAAGUUCGACGAGUACAUUUAAGCGGUGACAUUUAAGCGGUGUCUUUUAUGGACACAGCCAUUUGGGUAGGUUUCGAGCUGGGUGACCUCAAGCUACCGCUUGGUUAGGGAUGCAAACGGGGCGGAUCUGGAGGCGGGAGGGUUUCCUCACCUUCCGCUCUAUUUCUUAUCUGGGCGGGGCGGAUUCGGGGCGGGAUACUUUUCAUUUUAUUUUUGGCUCCCACUUACCGCUUCAUUUGGGACAGAUCGGGACGGGAGCGGGGCGGGAACGGAUUUUUAACGGAUCGGGAUAGAUUGAAGGAAGAAAAGAGUCUCCCACCUCCCGCUCCAUUUACUUGGCGGAUCGGGACGGAUUCGGGGCGGGUUAUAUUUUUCUAUAUUUUUUGUUCCCACUUACCACCCUAUUCGGGGCGGAUCGGGGCGGAGCUCCACCAACCCGGAUCCAUUUGCAUCCCUACGCUUGGUUCGAAAAUAAAUUAUUUUUAUUUAUUUUGAAUAAUAAUAUAUAUAAAUAAUUCUUUUAAAAUAAAUAAAAAUUAGGUUAAUUUUAUAUUUGGAUAAAAUUUUAGUUAUUCUCACAAAUAAAAUAAAUAAUAAUAAGGUGUGAGUUGCUAGACUAGAAUAGCAAGAAUAUAAAUAAUUAUAAAUUUUAAAAAAUAUAUAUUGUAUCUCAUUAAUAAAUAUCAAAAUAUGAAUUAAAUAAUAAUUCAAUAAGUUAGUUAAUUAAUGGCCUUUUUCAUAAAAAAAAUCCAUCACUUUUGCAUUUUUGUAAAAAAAUGGGCUAUUAUUUUGAAUUUUUCAGAUUCGGUUCGAAUUUUCAGUAUACUGACCAAAUAUUCUUUUUAUUCAUUUUUCUCUCUCCUUUUUUUUCUCUGGUAUUUUUUUUUCUCUCCGACCCUCAUUGCCACCUUCACCGUCCACGGCACUCGGCGAAGGUAACGAGGAUGGCGCCACCUACUCUACCUCUGCCUCUGCUGGUGCCGUCAUUGGAGGAGGAGGACUAAGAGCGAGCGCAGGUAAGGACAGAGCAGACGGAGGCAAUGAGGUUGUGAUCGAGAUGGUGCUUGCUGUUGUCCGUAAGGAUGAGAAUGAAGACGCGGCCACGUUUUUCCAAGGAGCAAAUCGUUGAGCCGGCGAUAGUGCCAUGCGCUUCCUAACUCUUGUCUCUUUUUAUGACUUGAUCGAAAAUUUUUUGAAAAACGCUUAGUUCUUUGUACUCUUCGUGAUAGAUAGAUAAUUUUUUUCUUUUUUUGGCCUCCACCAGGUCCAACACAUUACUUGUAGGCUGCCACUAAUAUUUUUCUCAGAAAAUAUGAAAUAAAUUCCGGAAAUGAGCUUACGGCGUAGCGCAUGACCGCGGUUGGCGGCGGAAACGAGGCUAUCAAAAGAUUUAAGAACGGCGGGGGGAGAAAGCACAUCUGGCGAGGGCUGUGGGUGCAGAAAAGGACGAGAGAGAGGGUGCGAUAGCAGAAAAGAAUGUUGAGAGUAGAAAAAAAAGGAAUAAAGAAUAAAAAUAAAAAAAAAGAAAAUUUUUUUCUUCUGUAAAAAUCUUUAUAUAUUAUCGCUAUUAUAAAAAUGGUCAAAAACCAAAAAAGAAUGAAGAAGAUAAAGUUGCACUGUUUCAGAAAAAAAUUACACUCUUUGAGAUGAAAAUUAGACUAUGUGAUACUAAAGUUGCGUGUUUGGGUAAAAGUUGCACUGUUUAAGCGAAAGUUAUAUUAUUUGAAAUGAAAAUUAUAUUGUUUGAGACAAAAUUGACACUCUUUGAGCGAAAAUUAUACUGUUUUAGAUAAAUUUGUACUUUUUGAACAAAAGUUGCUUUAUUUAAAACUAUUUAAGACUAAAUUGUAACAUAUACAAUAGAAAUUAAUUGCACUUUUAGACAAAAUUACACAAUUUUAAACUAUUUGAGACUUAAUUUUUAAAUAAUUUUAAAUGUCAUAAGUUUCAAACAGUAUAACUUAGUCUCAAACAGUGCAAUUUAAUCUCAAAUAACACAACUUUUAUUUUAUGUGGUGUAACUUAGCCUUAAAUAGUUUUAAAUGGUGCAGUUUUUGUUCAACGAGUGCAAUUUUUGUCCUAUAUAAUGUAAUUUUCACUCAAAAGUGUCAGUUUCAUCUCAAAUAGUAUAAUUUUUGUCUCAAACAGUGUAAUCUUUACUCAAGCAGUGCAAUUUUUUUCUCAAAAAAUAUAAUUUUCAUCUCAAAAGUGCAACUUAUCUCAAACCAUGCAUCUUUCUUAUGAAAUUAGUGCAAAUUUUUUUUCUUCUUUCUUUUCUGGUUCUUGGCCUUUUCUGUAUAAGGAUGAUACAUAAUGAUCUUUUCAGAAGAAAAAAUAUAUUUUUUCUUUAUUUUUUUUCUUUUUAUUCUUAAUUUUUUUUUCUACCUCUGUAUCUUUUUUCGUUAUCGCGUCCUCUACCACAGCCACCGCUCUUGCGGGGCACACCUUUCUACCUCGUCAUCCCUAAAUCCUUCGGUACUCUCAUCGCCAUCGCUAUUCUCGGUCAUGUGCUUCGUUGCAAGCUCACCUCACGCAAUCUGUAUAAUAUCUGAGCUGCUGCCUACGGAGGUGUGGCCAAUAUAAAAGACUGGAGCGCGGUGAAGAUAUUUGGGUGGUGGAGGAGAAGGAGAAGGGAGAGGAAGCGGGAAGGAGAAUGAGAGAAAAAAAUGGCGAGAAGGAGGAAGAUGAACCAGAAGCGAAGAAAUAUGAAUGAGAAAAAAAAAGGAGAGACAAAAAGGAAUAAACCUAUUUUGGUCAGAUUUUUAAAAAUUCGAACCGAAUCUACAAAAUCCAAAAUACCGAUUUAUUUUCGCAAAAAUGCAAAAAUAGUGAAUUUUUAUGCAAAUUGGCCUUAAUUAAUUAACUAUGAAAUAAUUAAUUAUAAAAAUAAGUUUAUUUAUUAAUUACAAAAAAAUAAUUUAAUUAAAUUAAUUAAAUACAAAAAUAAUUUAAUAUUUAAAGCCUAAUUGAGCAGCUCCUCCUCAAACUAUGAGGUGCAUGGCACUUUAGUCCUCAAAGUUUACGAGUGGCAAUCCAACUCGCUUUUUGUGAGCUAGCUCUAGUUCGGCACGAAACGAGCUUGGGAUCGAAUCGCUUGUUUAGUAGUUUAGUAAACGAGCCGAACACGAGCUGAAUUUUUUAGCUUGUUUAAUAAACGAGCUGAACACAACGUGUUCGGCUUUAUAACAGCUCGAAUACAUAUAUUUUAUAUUUAUAUAAUUUAUAUUUAUAUAUAUAAAUAAGUAAUUAUAUAUAUAAAUACAAAUUUUAAUUAUUUGAAUUUUAGCCCAACCUAAAUAUAAGGCCCAACUCAAUUAUAAAAUGGUCAAUUUAUAUGUAAAGUUCCAACCAUUAGAUCAAACUCUAAUGGAUAAAAUCUUACAAAUUUAUUUUUAUAUAUAUAUACAUACAUAUAGAGUAGAGCUAUUAUGUUAUCAGAAGCAUAGAGAAUCUGGUGCUUCCCACAUUUUGGCCUUUAGAUCAGCCACUUUAAUCAUUUCUAACCUUUGGAUUACUAACUCUAGGGGUAUUACUCAACCCUGGGGGGACCGCAAUCAUCCCAACCGUACAAUUCUUGAUCCAAGGUGUCACGCCACGGAUGUCUCGUUCCCCGGGCACGUCAACAAAUCCGCCGUAUACAAAAGAAUUUCCCCUGUAUACGAAGCGACAGCUGUACCUGUAGAUAUACAAUACUACAAACAGUAGCAUAGAGCUGCUCGAAUAAACAAAAGCUAAACAAACUGAGUUUCAUAUACAUGGACCAAAUCCAAAAUACAGAGUUACUCGCACUGGCGAGUUAAGUAGGCUAUGUACAUAAACUCGAAACAAAACAUCUACCUGCAGUAUGGGGCCUCUAGCUCUGCUCGUCGGGUAGGGCUCUAACUUGCGACGCCCUUGCCUCGAUCCUGAUCCGCGAAAAAUGCAGCAGCCGAAACCUGUGGCUCUGCAAAAACAGGAGUAACAACUGGGCGUGAGAACUACUGUAAAAACAAGUAGUCCUCAGUGGGUACCGCCCAAAACAACAUCGGUCCACGACUACUAAUUACAAAGAAGCUAAGAAUAGUCGGCAAAACAGGAAGUAAACUCUACCACCCCUAACGGGGGAAUCACUAUAUCUAUCUGCUCUAACACUACAAACGUAGGAAAUGUCAAAUCGAACCUAAUCCAUCGGGACUAGUAAGCCUAACCGUCCCCUGGCCUGAAUACCCCUCCCUUGCCAGUUGGCGACUAUCCAGCUCCAUCCACACUAACUGGCCGUGGAUAGCAAUCCAACGACAUGAUGCGCCACCAACCUAAACACAAAGCCUGACUCCGAGUGGCACUCGUGGCGCUACGCACCGAGUAGACAGCUAUCUCUGUCGAGUCCAACAGGCUCUGAAAAGCCAAAAGUCAAGAUAACCGACUCUAAAACAGUCUAAUAGACUAAAGUUCGGUGCCCUCGGCCAAUCUUCGCCAAAAAUGCGAAUCCGGCGUCCACUGUCAUUGACGGCACCCAACAGUCCGAAACCAGCCUGAACUACUGAACAAAUAUAGCUCGCAUCCCGCACGAGCGUAAUGAAAGUUAAACUAUCUUGAUACUCACUAUAAGGAUACUGACAGUAAAAAAUACAACGGUCCCCUAGGGCAAAUCCAGUAGUUAAAAAUAUGCGAUCAUAAUCGCGCAGUUUUCUCCUAAGUCUUUAUCCAAGUCAACAUGUAUAUUAGGGUUUCAAAUCAUGUCCGCCAAGCUAAUUUCACUCAUUAACAAUCGAUCGAAAUUAAGCUACCAUCAAUGAUUACAAAAACAGAAAUCAUACACUGUCGACUGAAUAAACCGAUGUAACCCACCUUAAUCGCAAAUCCCCGACGGGAAGAGGUCACCGGAGUCCCUGUCAAGCAUCGGCGCAGCUACCCCGAACCAGCGGACAACACGCUCCAAUGGGUCUAAACAUAGAAACCAUCAUAUAAGCAUCAAUUACUGCCCAAAACACAGCAGCAGAAAAGAAAAAGGGAUACGACCUAGCAAACCUUACACCAAAUCCAGCUAAGAUAACGUCUUUCGCUGACUUCCUCUCGAAGUCCCGUCGAAAUCCGACGUUCCUACGUCGAGUACGAGCCGAAAUACUAACGGUCGACGCUGAAAAUCAGUAAAAUCAGCACGCGAGCUCAAAACCGUGCAUUCAAGUAAUCCAAGAAGGAAAGUUAGGUACCCACAUCGACAGCGAAUCCAGCGCCGGUGCGACGUCGAGGACGGCGAAAAUGCACCCUCGCCCGGCCUCCAUGCGACGUUACGGCGACAAAUGUGCGCUCAAACGGCUCGGCGAUGCGACGUCGGCAACGAACGCUCCACCCAAGGUCCUCCUCCUCGCGUAUGGCUCCAGAGACAGAGAGGGAGGAAAUUUUAAUUAAGGAGGCAUGUACAACCCCCUAAUUAGAUAAGCGUGAAAUACAUGCAUGGGGGCACGUGGCAUUUUAUAUAUAUAUAUAUAUAUAUAUAUAUAUAUAUAUAUAUAUAUAUAAGGAUACUACACAAGGAUCAAAAAUUCAGAAGCAUCAAAUCAUUUAUACUUCCGAUAACAUAGUAGCUCUACACACACACACAUAUAUAUAUAUAUAUAUAGAGAGAGAGAGAGAGAGAGAGAGAGAGAGAGAGAGAGAGAGAGAGAGAGAGAGAGAGACUACUAUGCUAUUGGAAGCACGGAGGAGCCUUCCGUGCUUCUAGCUCAUUUUCGAUGUUGCGACUUUCGAAUCGUCGAUCGGCUCCGUUAAACUUGAUCUAGAGUAUUUGGAGUACCUAGAAAAUAAAUUUUAUUAUUUUUUGAUAUUAUUUGACUAGUGAUCGAAUGGGCUCAAAAUCAACAAAUUUUAAUGGCCGUAGUGAGCCGUUUGCAAGUUUAACGGUGUAGAAAUAUCCAAAUCAUGUGAAAUUUUGAUAGAAAAUUCUUUAUACUAUAUAAAACAAAAUCAAUAUCUUUGAUUUAAAAUUUUGAUGUCAUAUUAUUAGAUUUUGUAAGAUUUUUAUUUUCAGCUGUUGAUUUUGAGCCCUUUCGUUCACUAGGCAAAUGAUAUCGUAAAAUCAUAAAAUUUAUUUUCUAGGUACUUCAAAUACUCUAGAUCAAGUUUAACGGAGCCGAUCGACGAUUCGAAAGUCGCAACAUCGAAAACGAGCUGGAAGCACGGAAGGCUCCGUGCUUUCGAUAGCAUAGUAGCCUCACUCUAUAUAUAUAUAUAGAGAGAGAGAGAGAGAGAGAGAGAGAGAGAGAGAGAGAGAGAGAGAGANAUAUAUAUAUAAGGAUACUACAUCCUCCCCAACUACAAAAAGUUUCGUCCUCGAAACUUAGCACAUACCUCAACUUGAAGAAUCAAACAAGUCUGGGUAAGACUCCCUCAUCACUGUCUCAGGCUCCCAAGUCGCCUCCCGCUCCUCGUGAUUGCUCCACUGCACUUUCACAUACGGAAUGAUCCGGUUGCGCAAUUCUUUCGUCUCUCGAGUAAGAAUCCGCAACGGUCGCUCCUCGUAUCUCAGAUCCUCGCCAAUCUCGAGUGGAGUGAAGUCGAUCACGUGGGAGGGAUCGAAAACGUAUCUCCUCAAAGCUGAGAUGUGGAAAACAUCGUGAAUGCCAGCUAGUCGUGGUGGUAGAGCAAUCCUGUAAGCAACUGGCCCGACUCACUCCAAAACCUCGAAAGGGCCUACAAAACGUGGACUGAGCUUUCCACGUACUCCAAAUCGGCGAAUACCUCUGGACGGCGAGACUUUAAGAAAAACAUGAUCUCUCACCUGGAACUCCAAGUCUCGUCUCCGGGUAUCAGCAUAGCUCCUCUGUCGACUCUGGGCUGCUAACAUGCGCCGUCGCGCCUCCUUUACCUUUUCCUCAGCCUCUAUCAGAAUCUCAGGCCCAAGCAUACUCCUCUCACCCACAUCACUCCAAAACAAAGGGGAUCGACAUCUGCGUCCAUACAACGCCUCAAACGGAGCCAUCUGGAUGCUCGCUUGAUAGCUGUUGUUGUACGCAAACUCAACGAGUCUCAAAUGCCGAUACCACCCUCCUCCAAAGUCCAGGACACAUGCCCUCAGCAUGUCAUCUAGAGUCUGAAUGGUCCGCUCUGACUGACCACCUGUUUGUGGGUAAAACGCUAUGCUGAACUGCAACUGAGUGCCCAAGGCCGUCUGAAGACUUCUCCAAAAGUGCGAGACGAACCUCGGGUCCCGGUCGGAUACUAUCGAAGUGGGCACGCCAUGCAACCUCACUUUCUCAUCCAAGUACAACUGAGCGAGUCUCUCUCAGGACUAGGUAGUCUGAACUGGUAGGAAGUGAGCAGACUUGGUCAGUCUGUCCACUAUCACCCAAAUCGCAUCGUAGCCACCCUGCGCUCUAGGCAAUCCAACGACGAAGUCCAUCGUGAUGUACUCCCACUUUCACUCGGGCACUGGCAGACUCUGAAGUUUGCCAGCAGGCACCUGAUGCUCGGCCUUCACUUGUUGGCAAGUCAAACACUGAACCACAAAUCUGCCAAUGUCCCUCUUCAUUCCAGGUCACCAGAACCGUGCCUUAAGAUCCUUAUACAUCUUGGUUCCCCCAGGGUGAACCGUAUAAGGAGAACAAUGAGCCUCUCUCAGAAUGUCUGCUCGAAUCUCAGAAUCCACAAGCACACACAGUCGGUCCCUGUACCGUAGUACUCCCGAACUGUCUAAAGCAAAACCCUCAGCCUGCCCCCUGUCUAGCUGCUCUCUAAUCCUCANGAGUCCGGCUGCUAUGCUAUCGAUAACACCAAGCACUUGAUGCUAUCAAGUUUUCUGCCGUUAAAUUAACCCCUUUGAUUAGUUUUACCCGUUAGAUUAUACUAUUCAACCAACCACCCACUUAACCCCAAAAGGCCCACAUCAUCCUAACCGCACAUUUCUCAAUCCAAGAGUUAAAAAACUAAUAUUGCAACCUUGGCCUAAAGAAUGUAAAAUCUAUUUUAAAAGAUUUUAAUUUUUAUAUCAAAUAGUGCAAUUUUUAUUAAAACAGUGCAAUUUUUUUUAAAAUAGUAUAAUCUUAUUUUAAGAGUGCAAUUUCAUCAUUUUCUUUCUCCUUUUAUAUUUUUUUGAUCUUUUCUAUAGGAAAAAAAUAUUUUUUAUUUUUAUUUUUUAUUAUUCUUAUUUUUCUUUCUAUACCCUUGCUCUCUAUUGCAACCACCACGACGUCGUCGGAGGCGAUCUUGCCGCCUCCGACGACGUCUCGGCAUUCCGACGCGCGGUGGAGCAGAAGAGCCUGCGCCUCGAUGUCGUCGUGCCCUAGUGGAGAAGGAGGAUCGCGACGCAGCCUCAGCAGGGUCGGAGGCGAGCAGGGCGGGGGUGCACGGGCGAGGGCGAGGGUGAGGGCGUGCGGGGCAGAGGCAAGGGGGCUAUUUCCGCCUUCGCUGCCUUCUUCGGAGAGAGAAAAAAAAAAUGAGAGAAAAAAAAAAAAGAGUAGAGAGAAAAAGUAAUAAGAAUAUUUUGGUCAGUUUGCUGAAAAUCCGAUCCGAAUUUACAAAAUCGAAAAAAAGUGGCCCACUUUUGCAAAAGCGCAAAACUAGUGGAUUUUUUAUACAAAUUGGCCAUAUAUUUUCUACUUGAUAUAUUUAUAAAAAGUUGUAUGCAAUUCAUCCAAAAGAAAUUUAAUAAGACUAAUGGGUAGGGUAUAAAAUUUACAACUAUGUUAUAGGUCUACAGAUAUAUAGCAUUACGAGCGGCUAUAAAAUUUGUAUUUUUAUAAAUAAAAAUGAAGAAUGAUGUUGAAUGAGUUCUUAAACUUUUGUUUAGGCAUGUUUGGUUGUCCGAAAGUGGUUAAAAUAAAAAAAGUUACUUUUGCAAAAGUGACUUUUACAAAAAAUGACUUUUUAAUUGGCUAAAUUACAUAAAAUCUUCUUGUGAAAACCCGAUUUUUUACUUUCCCCCCUGUCAUUUAAAAACCUACACUUUACCCUCUUGUAAAAUAAAAAAUAUUCACAGGGGGUACGGUGUGAAUUAUGAUAACAAAAUGACUAUUUUGUCCCUCACCAUUUUCGUCUCCUCCCUCGUCUUUACUCAUCCGCCGCCUCAAUCGGUCGCGGUUCCUCUCCAUUUUCUUCUCCACCUGCUCCGUUUCUCCUCCUGCACCCUCGUCGCCCCUCCAUUCGGCAACAGUAGGGAGGAAAUCGAGGUGGGCGUGGAUGGAGAGGUGGGCAAGGGCAACAAGAGCGAAGGUGAGGCGGUGAAUGAGGGCGAGGGGGUGUUUGUGGGCGCUAACGGAGAUGUGGGCGAGGGCGAGGCAGUGGAGGAGGGCGAUGCGGCGAGACGGCGAGGUGGAGGAGAGCGAAGCAACAGUAGAGAGAGCGGAGUGCAUUUUUGGUAUAAAAAAAUAUUUUAUAACGGAACCUUAACGGAUCACUAAUGGUAGGGAGUGAAGUGAACAUUUUUUAUUUUACAAGGGGGCAAAGUGUAGGUUUUUAAAUGACAGGGAGGAAGUAAAAAAUCGGGUUUUGACAGGAAGGUAUUCUGUAAUUUAGCCUUUUUAGUUUGAUUGUUUGGUUGGCUUAAACUGAAAUGUGAAAAAUUAUAGUUUUAUAAUUUGAUUUUUUAAUUAUAUAUAAAGAGAUGAAAAUAUAAAAAUAAAAGACUUAUAUCACAAUUUAAAUUGAAAAUUUUAAUUUAUAUUUAUUUUUAGAAUUUAAAAUUAUAUUUCAAAAUUUAAAAUUAAACGUAAAUCUCAGCUGAACUUAUAAUUAAAAUAUAUAAGACACAAAUUAAAUUUACAAUUUGAAUGUCAAGUUUAAAUUACAACUCAUAACUGAAUUCAAAUUUNAAGUCCUGCAGCUGCCCUAACACCAACAGGUCUGCGGGCAUGAUCCAAGAGUCUAACUGCACCAGACAGGACCAACAACACUCUGUAACCUGCAAGACAUGAUCGGGGAUCUGCACCUCUCGUGCCUGAGACAAUGCUCCUAACUCUAGACCAUGCAACUGUGCAAAUGCUCGGCUAACAAAGGAAUGCGAUGCACCGGUAUCAAAAAGAGUGCGAACUCUAAUGCCAGAAAUCAAAGUGAUACCUGCCACCAUUCGGUCGGCUGCUGUAGAGUCCUCCACAUGAGCUGCGUAGACUCUGCCACUCGGAGCCUGCUGUCGCCGCUCACCCUGACGCGGCACAGACGAUCUGUCCUCCUGGUGGUAACUCGGUACUGCUCCGUAAGACUGCUGGAGUGCUGAUGGGGCUGAAGCUGAUGAUGGUGCUGGAGAUGCUGCUCCGGGACAAGCUGCCCUCAUAUGUCCCGGCUGACCACAUCCGUAGCAUCUGCCCUCUCUCUGCUCGCACUGCCGAGGCCAGUGUGGUCCCCCGCAGAUCACACACUGUGGCGUCCUCUGAGUCUGCCCCUGCUGACGGGAUCCCCUGGAACGCUGACGCCCCGAAGACCCACGACCCUGAGAACGUGAUCGUGGAGGCCUCGGCGGACGUCUGCUGCUCGACUGUCCUCCGUCAUCUGGAAAGGGGCGCUUCCUAUCCUGACUCUACCCUACGGCCUGAGUCCUCUCCUGUAGCGAUGUCUCACCUCGCUCCACCCACAAGGCCUGCUCUAUAGACACAUCAGACACAUCCAGAGUUCUCGACCUCUGCGUCCAAGUCAACCUAAAGAUAUCCGGUCUCAGCCCCUGCUCGAACAUGUACACCCUGUGCGCCUCUUCUCUGGCCGCAAAUGGUACACAGUUCAGGAGUCGAGUAAACUCCCGAACGUACUCCUGCACUGGGCGAAUUCCCUGCUGAAGCCUCCUCAAAUCCUCCUCGUGCUUCUGUUUCACACUAUUUGGAAAGAACAUCCCAAACAGCAUUCCAUAGAACUCAUCCCACCUCAGCUGCGUCGCCACCAGCCCCUGGUCUCGCCUCGCUCUCCGCCACCAGUCAUGAGCAUCACCUGCUAAACAGUGUACUCCCAGAGGUACCUGCUUCCCCUCCGGAAUGAAUAGAUCCUCAAAUAGAUUCUCUAUUGCACUGACCUAUCCCUCAACAACCCAGGCCUCAGUGCAUCUGCCAUCGUAAAUCGGUGGAUCAAAAUGACGAAAAUGAGCCAACCUCUCCGUCCACCUCUCCUGCUCGGCCUCUGUCAAUGUACGGGCCCCCUAGCAGGCCCAACUGGCACUGCAGGAAGCUCCACUGGUGGGGGCAUAGCUGCGGCUGGUACUGACGCUGGAGUAGUCGGUGGCGGAACAGUCUGCUCUGGUACUCUCGAUGCUGAACUCGGUGAUUGAGCAACCCUCUCACACAACCUCUGCAACAACUCCCCUUGCUGCCUCGUCACCUCAGUCAGGGCAGCUAACUGUGCACUCAGAUCAGGGGGUGCGCUAGCCUCAGGUCGCGCACUCGACUCCACAACAGGGGGUGCACUCGCCUCCGGUCUGUCACCCUGCUCCUGCCGAGUACUUUGCUCCAUCUACUCAGGUCUCUCGGAAGGUCCUGCACGAUCCCGUGCCAACUAGGCACGCUCUCGCAACGACGGUCGACCUCGGCGGCGAUACAUAGCUGAAAGGAACAAAUCGGGGUCAGAUACAACACAACACUCUCGAUCCAAUCAAUGAAAGUCUGGAAGGCGGUCCCUGUUUCCCUCCAAAAUUAUGUCGUCUGCAGCCAACAUAAUUUCUCAGGCCAAAACAAGUACUCCUUCAAUUACUCACCCCACUCUUGGAGGAGUUAAAACAAUUAAUCAUUGACUUUCGCAAUAAAUUACGCCUCUCACGUCUUGCCUUCCUAAGGUUUGUCAAACUUAGGUUUUCUAGGUCCCAACGACCUACAGCUAAGCUCUGAUACCAACUUAAUCUGUCACGCCCCGGAUGUCUCGUUCCCCGGGCACGUCAACAAAUCCGCCGUAUACAAAAGAAUUUCCCCUGUAUACGAAGCGACAGCUGUACCUGUAGAUAUACAANGAGUUUAAUUAUAACUUACUUUUUCAGUUCACUUUUAUAAAAUGACUUUAUAUUCACUUUCACAAAUCAAACAACCGAUUAAAUGUCACUUCUCAAAAGUACCACUUUCGAUACUUCACUUUCGGUCAGCCAAAUAUGCUCUUAGGUGUUUGGUUCAACUUACGUAAUAUUACAAAGUAUUUCGAUAUAUCUAGAUAUUUUGGACUUUUAAAUGAGAUUACUACUGAUGAUGCAUUAACGCGUUUGGUUAAUGUAGUAAUGUAAUACUAGAUUGUUGUGUUUAUAGUAUUAGUAUAUUCGGUUCAGUCUAUAAAAUUCAGCAAUCUUGACAAUAAAGUAUAGGGUGUAUUUGGUUUGCCUAUUUUUUUAAUCUGGAAUUGGAAUCGGAAUGUAUGAAUCCGUUUACCCGUAUUUGGUAUGCGGGAUUUCUAUUCCGAUUUUGAUUCUAAGAUGAAUAGGAAUCCCCUAAUUAUCUUUUUUUUCAAUCUAGUCUACAAGGUCGGAUUGAAAAUUUAAUCCGGACGUAAAGGAUUAUUCGAAUUAAAUUUAACUUUUUUAAGUUCAUUUUUUAAUUAAACUGUAAAUUUAAGUUUAAAAAUUAUAUUUAUAAAUUUUAAUUUUAAUUUGAACUUAAAUUAAAAAUUAAAAUUCAAUCAAGCAUUUCGAAUCUAAUUUAUAAAUUUAAAUUUAAAUUAAAAUCUAAAGUUUUAUUCAAAUUUUAUUUAAAAUUUAAAUUAAAUUUAUGGAUUCAAAUUGAAAUUGAAAUUAUAAUUUUAAGUUUGAAUUUGAAUAAAUAGAAAUAGUUUUAUAUUUUGAAUUAUCUGUUCAAUUUCAAAUUUUAAUU
rnacentral:lncRNA from 1 species